rnacentral:rRNA from 1 species
CCUACGGGAGGCAGCAGUGGGGAAUUUUGGACAAUGGGGGCAACCCUGAUCCAGCCAUUCCGCGUGAGUGAAGAAGGCCUUCGGGUUGUAAAGCUCUUUCGCAAGGGAAGAAAACUUAUGAUCGAAUAAAUCAUGAGGUUGACGGUACCUUGAUAAGAAGCGCCGGCUAACUACGUGCCAGCAGCCGCGGUAAUACGUAGGGUGCGAGCGUUAAUCGGAAUUACUGGGCGUAAAGCGUGCGCAGGCGGUUUUGUAAGUCGGAUGUGAAAUCCCCGGGCUCAACCUGGGAACUGCGUUCGAAACUGCAAGGCUAGAGUGUGUCAGAGGGGGGUAGAAUUCCACGUGUAGCAGUGAAAUGCGUAGAGAUGUGGAGGAAUACCAAUGGCGAAGGCAGCCCCCUGGGAUAACACUGACGCUCAUGCACGAAAGCGUGGGGAGCAAACAGGAUUAGAUACCCUGGUAGUCCACGCCCUAAACGAUGCCAACUAGUUGUUGGUAGAGUAAAAUCUAUGAGUAACGUAGCUAACGCGUGAAGUUGACCGCCUGGGGAGUACGGUCGCAAGAUUAAAACUCAAAGGAAUUGACGGCUGAGAGNGCGAGACGACGACGAGGGAGGAGG